AUUGAACGCUGGCGGCAGGCCUAACACAUGCAAGUCGAGCGAGCGGCGGACGGGUGAGUAAUGUCAGGGAAACUGCCUGAUGGCAGGGGAUGACUAAUGGAAACGGUAGCUAAUACAGCAUACCAUCAGAUGUGAGCAGAGGGGAGUGGCUUGUAGGUUGGGUAAAGGCGCACCUAGGCGACGAUACCUAGCUGGUCUGAGAGGAUGACCAGCCACACUGGAACUGAGACACGGUCCAGACUCCUACGGUAGUCAGCAUUGGUGAAGUUUGCACAAUGGGCGCAAGCCUGAUGCAGCCAUGCCGCGUGUGUGAAGAAGGCCUUCGGGUUGUAAAGCACUUUCAGCGUGGAGGCGUUACCCGCAGAAGAAGCACCGGCUAACUCCGUGCCAGCAGCCGCGGUAAUUC
rnacentral:rRNA from 1 species